AUUAUCGUCCCCAGAAAUUCGGCUCUGGCCCUCAGCUUACAAACCCGACUCAACCGUGGAGUUAGCCGGCCCAGCCCAUCUUUGCAAGCAGCAUUUGCCGAGCACCUACUAUGUGACCGAAGAGGACAUUUUAUGCUGAGUAGGGAUCUCCUCAGAGCGGAGCCACAAAGCCUGGGACAAAGGGAUCUUUGGAGAUAUUUUUUUCAAGCAAUCUCUACACCCAAUGUGGGGCUCGAAGUUACAGCCCCGAGAUCAAGAGUCUCACGCCCACUGACGGAGCCCGCCAGGUGCCUGCCCCGUCUUUGUUUCUUUUAAAGGAUAAGGAGUGCACGGUGAUUUUGCCAAAUCUGAGGAGGCCAAUAGCUCCUCUGGACAAUGAUCUGUCAAACCGAUGAAGGAAAAUUGCAGAAAAUGUGCACAAAGCUGUGGAGGGAGAAACGGACGUCAGAGGAAGUUCAGUGUCUUCACGGUUAGGACUGGUGGCCCGAAAGAAAAUAGACCCACAAAACUUAUGAGCCGAUGAGCUCUGAGUCACAGUGACAGGCCAGGCAAGGCUCCAGGAGGCAUCCCACACGGUUCCUGCAGAAUUGACUCCAGAGCCCAUAAGGCCAGAUUGGAAUGUUAGCAGGUAAAGCCCUGGCAACCCAAAAGGAGCCAGGCUGAGAACAAGCUGGAGGGUUGCACACUGCCCCAUACCUUUAAUUCUGAGUGGCCAUCAACUGCAAGACAUACCAUUAAUUUAAUAACAGACUUGGGGGAGACCCUCUCCCAUCAAAUGUACACCCUGAUUAUAAUAUACAUCCAAACUUCGUCGACACCAAAUGGUUAAAAAAAAAAAAAAAGCAGCUGUCCCCUGAGAACCCAUGUUAUUUAGUGAGACCCUACUUUGUUGCCUCAUUUCUUUUAACCUCAUUUUAUUCGAACAAUCCUCUGGGGAAACACAGGUUUGAUAACUAGCCUAGGGUUUCCUGACCCUAGUAAGCGACAAAGCUGAGUUUACAAUUCAAACUGAGCUGUCAAGGACAUUCCAGAGGGUCAUCAGGCAAAAAUAGUAAUCAGGAAACCACUUUCCAGACCCUCGGCUUCCACAGGCCCUCUUUCCUAAAAUGGAGUUGCUUGCGAAUGAGAGAAUUCACACACUAGGGCUCCCCCCGCUUUACAAAAGAAGGGGGACCCGACCUGGGGGAGAGUUGCCUGGAGAAUUCCAGACUCGCAGGGCCUGCUGCCCUCCUGUUCUGGUGGUUGGAGGAAUAGCAAUUUUCAUUUAAUAACUUUGUUCUUCUUUCCUCCUCCUUUUAUCAAAGAAUGCCCACUCUUGAGGGAGAGUCCUAUGAAGGCAAAGAGAAAAAGUAUUCACGGCUAUGAUGGUUUUCUCCGCUUAUUCAAAUGUCAUCAAGAAAAUACUCUGAAGCCUUAAAAAUAUAUCUGGACAGAAGUCUGUGAAGGAAGUAGGAUUAGUAACACACGUUCAAGGAGAUAAAAAGAUGUAAAGGUUCUAAAUGAUAAAUGAGAUUUUUUUCAUACAUUUUUCAGUGGAUCAUAGUGGGUAUGAAAUCAUAGACGUUAUAGUCAUUGGAUGUUAUAUUUCACUGGAUAAAUUUAAAAGUGUGACGUAACAGUUAGUUUUAAAUAUCAAUAUUUACAAUACGCCAGAAAUCACACUCUUUGCAGCUAUUUAAACUUAGAUAAACAAUUUUUAUGUUUCAUUUUUAAAAUGUGCUGGAGGCAGGGAGUGAAUAAUUUUAGGAAAUUAUGUUAGGGGUAUGUAAAUGAGCAAGCAAAGCUGGAGGCUGCCCCUGCCAGUGUGAUGAAAUUUUGUGCUUUCUUGCACUUCUCUAAACUAGCCCUUAGGACCUUCUCAAUACUUGGGUAAUAAUUACAUCAAAAGGCAAUGAAGAUGUGGGGGGAGGAGGGAUGGGGAGACGUUGGUAAAUGUUUCAGUUAUGAGUAAGUCCUGGGGAUCUAAUGUACAGCACGGUGACUAUAGUUAAUGAUAUGGUAUUGUAUACUUCAAAUAUGCUAAAAGAGAGCUUAAAUGUUCUCACUAGCAAGAGAAAAAGGUAAAAAAAAAAACAAAAAAGAAAAAA